rnacentral:rRNA from 1 species
UACAUGUGGGGCAAGCGUUGUUCGGAAUUACUGGGCAUAAAGGGUGCGUAGGCGGCUUGUUAAGUCAGGGGUGAAAUCCUGGAGCUCAACUCCAGAACUGCCUUUGAUACUGAAGAUCUUGAGUUCGGGAGAGGUGAGUGGAACUGCGAGUGUAGAGGUGAAAUUCGUAGAUAUUCGCAAGAACACCAGUGGCGAAGGCGGCUCACUGGCCCGAUACUGACGCUGAGGCACGAAAGCGUGGGGAGCAAACAGG